UACGGAGGGUGCAAGCGUUAUCCGGAUUCACUGGGUUUAAAGGGUGCGUAGGCGGAUAUGUAAGUCCGUGGUGAAAUCUCUGGGCUUAACCCGGAAACUGCCAUGGAUACUAUGUGUCUUGAAUGUUGUUGAGGUGAGCGGAAUAUGUCAUGUAGCGGUGAAAUGCUUAGAUAUGACAUAGAGCACCAAUUGCGAAGGCAGCCCACUAAGCAAAUAUUGACGCUGAGCACGAAAAGCGUGGGGAUCAAACAGG
rnacentral:rRNA from 1 species